GGCAGUUCUCGGGUGAUGCACCCCGGAAUUGGCCUCCCUCCUCUCUGGUUCUGGGUGUGUCACCUGAGAACCACA
rfam:Myotis lucifugus cont2.47865, whole genome shotgun sequence.